rnacentral:rRNA from 1 species
UACGAAGGGGCUAGCGUUGCUCGGAAUUACUGGGCGUAAAGGGCGCGUAGGCGGAUAUUUAAGUUAGAGGUGAAAGCCCAGGGCUCAACCCUGGAAUAGCCUUUAAUACUGGAUAUCUUGAGUUCGGGAGAGGUGAGUGGAACUCCGAGUGUAGAGGUGAAAUUCGUAGAUAUUCGCAAGAACACCAGUGGCGAAGGCGGCUCACUGGCCCGAUACUGACGCUGAGGCACGAAAGCGUGGGGAGCAAACAGG